AACCACCUAACGAGGAACGAUCGGAGGGCAAGUCUGGUGCCAGCAGCCGCGGUAAUUCCAGCUCCAAUAGCGUACGUUAAAGUUGCUGCAGUUAAAAAGCUCGUAGUUGAACGUUCGGGUUCCGCGGGACGGGGCCGCCCCGCGAGGGACGGCGCCGCCCCGGGGCUCGUGAUAUCUUAUCUCGCCGCCCGUCGCGAGGCGGACGGAGGGAUGGAUGAGGUUACCUGGAAAAAUCGGGGCGAUCUAGGCGGGCGAACCUCGCCAACGAACGAUCGGACAUGGGAUAACGGAAGAGGGCGUCGGCUCGACUUCGUCGGUUCCUCGGGCCGAGGCACGUACGGUGAAUAGGGACGGUCGGGGCCGCCCGUACCGGGUCGUGAGAGGUGAAAUUCUAGGAUCGACCCGAGACGAACUGCCGCGAAAGCAUUCGGCAAGGACGC
rnacentral:rRNA from 1 species